rnacentral:snRNA from 1 species
GGAUGUGAGGGCGAUCUGGCUGCAGCAUCUGUCAACCCAUUGAUGGCCAGGGUUGAUUCGGCUUAUCUGGCUGGCUAGGCGGGUGUCCCCUUCCUCCCUCACCGCUCCAUGUGUAUCCCUCCUGAAGCUGCGCGCUCAGUGGAAGAGGAUGACCAUCCCCGCUAGAGGAGGACCGUUCUUCGGUCAAGGGUAUAUGAGUAGCUGCGCUCCCCUGCUAGAACCUCCAAACAAGCUCUCAAAUAAUAUAGUUACAAACCUACGUCAUAAUCCUUAGAGAAGCUAGAAUAACUAUUAAAAAUUGACAGAUCCUUUUACAUAGCUGUAUAAUUACUGGAGUACAGCCUCCUAUGUAGA